rnacentral:rRNA from 1 species
CCUACGGGAGGCAGCAGUGAGGAAUAUUGGUCAAUGGGCGGGAGCCUGAACCAGCCAAGUCGCGUGAGGGAAGACGGUCCUAUGGAUCGUAAACCUCUUUUAUAAGGGAAUAAAGUGUGGGACGUGUCCUGUUUUGUAUGUACCUUAUGAAUAAGGAUCGGCUAACUCCGUGCCAGCAGCCGCGGUAAUACGGAGGAUCCGAGCGUUAUCCGGAUUUAUUGGGUUUAAGGGGUGCGUAGGCGGCCUUUUAAGUCAGCGGUGAAAGUCUGUGGCUCAACCAUAGAAUGGCCGUUGAAACUGGGAGGCUUGAGUAUGUUUGAGGCAGGCGGAAUGGGUGGUGUAGCGGUGAAAUGCUUAGAUAUCACGCAGAACCCCGAUUGCGAAGGCAGCCUGCCAAGCCAUGACUGACGCUGAUGCACGAAAGCGUGGGGAUCAAACAGGAUUAGAUACCCGGGUAGUC